AUUGGAAUCCUAAAACGAUAAAUAUUUCAAAACAAAAAUUUAUUCAAAAAUGAUAAUAUUUAUUGUGAAACAUAUUAAUCAUUACAUAAACAUUAAGUUUCAUCGACCGAAUAUUUUUCGGUAGUUAGCCGUCCCGACUUUUCGGAUAUUUUGUCCGACAUCACCGGCUCCAGUAGUGGUGUUGGUUGGCUCUAGUCCGGCAGCGUCUUGUUCACAUAACCGGCAUUGGCUGGCUCUUGGGUUCUCUCGUCGAUGUAGAUCGACUUUUCUUCUGUUUUUUUUUUUAAUUUUCAUGUUUUGCUUUUAAUAAUUCUCAUAUGAGACAUAUUGGUGAUAGAGUGAAAGCAAUCUCGCUUUCUAAUGCUUCUUAUCCGAUCUGUUUUCUUUUGAGUUUUGAUUUAUAGAAAUCUUUGCAGAGAUUUGAGAAUGAAAUUGAAGAAAAGAAGUGGAUUCCGUUGCUAAUUAUCAUAGCAUUAAGCUGUUGUAUCUUUAACAUGAGCCUCGAUUGCUUUUUAUUGGUGAGAAAACAAAAAGAUCCAUGUUCGAUGAGACUAUCGACGGUGAUUCUUUCACCGGAAUCGGUGCCCGGACUGCAAGGAUGAAAUCGGUUCGCUUUAGAGUACUCAUCUGACACGUGUAUUAAUAUAUCGACAUGUGGUUUGGAUAGAGUCAAACUGUAGUUUCUUCUUCUGUGAAAGACUCUCUGUUGGCUUAUUUGGGCCUAAAUCGUUUCUGUAAUCGCGGGGCUUUUCUUUAAGCCUUGACUACCUUGUUUAAUACAAUAUUUCUCUUGAGACAAAAAAAAAAUUACAUAAACAUUAAUAUCUAC